rnacentral:lncRNA from 1 species
AAUCUGAGGAGCUCUGAAAAGUAAAUUUGUCCUUCCUAAUUUGUACUCCGUUCCGUGAGUAAGAAAUUGCUCUUUGAUUCGAAAGCCUUUCUGAAAGAGUAGAAUUGCACACGGGUGUUGCACUCUCAAGGCUGGUACUCACCACUCAACUGUGCGGCUUUGAACCGGAAGCUGGUGAAGCUUCAAGGUGCAGUCACAAGUCCAGCUGCAUGAUGUUGGAUGUUCUAUCCUCUCGAGAGAAAUGGGCAAGCUCGUCCCACCAAGAGCACACUCGCCUCUGGUUAAUACUGGUGAGAGACACACGGCAGCCAGUCCUGAGGUGAUUUCUACAGGGCUGGCCUUUCGUGCCAGUGUGAAUAUCCAUAUUUAUGUGGAAGGCAAUUUCCACUAAUAUCUUAUGGACCCAAACCAAGCCACACAGACAUCAUAGCUACAGGGAAUCUGGAAAAGUGAGGAACAAGAUCGCCAUCAUGAUCCAUAUUUUGGGAUUGGACCUCUUGCUGCCCUGAACUGACUUGGAGUUCCAUUUUGCUGGAAAGAAGAGGAUAAUAGGUAGGCAGCUUACAGAGACUGGCACACUACAAAGGGGUUUCCCCUUACAUGGUUAUAAAAGUUUUUUCCCAUCUUCUAGUAUUUUUAUGGUUUAAUUUUUCACAUAUAAAUCUUUGAUUCACUUAUUCUUAGUCUUAUUAAUUUUAGAGUGCAAAUCUAACUUUUUCCUAAGAUGAAAAUCAGUUGUCUUAACACUUUUUAUUGCAUAAUCCAGC